rnacentral:rRNA from 1 species
UACGAAGGGGGCUAGCGUUGCUCGGAAUUACUGGGCGUAAAGGGCGCGUAGGCGGAUAGUUUAGUCAGAGGUGAAAGCCCAGGGCUCAACCUUGGAAUUGCCUUUGAUACUGGCUAUCUUGAGUUCGGGAGAGGUGAGUGGAAUGCCGAGUGUAGAGGUGAAAUUCGUAGAUAUUCGGCGGAACACCAGUGGCGAAGGCGACUCACUGGCCCGAUACUGACGCUGAGGCGCGAAAGCGUGGGGAUCAAACAGG